ACGCCGCGUGAGUGAGGAAGGUCCUUUGGAUUGAAAGCUCUGUUGCCGGGGAAGAAAGUUAGUGUAAGGAAAUGUGCAUUAAUUGACGGUACCCGGUGAGGAAGCACUGGCUAACUACGUGCCAGCAGCCGCGGUAAUACGUAGAGUGCAAGCGUUGUCCGGAAUCAUUGGGCGUAAAGGGUACGCAGGCGGAUAUACAAGUCAAAUGUGAAAGGUGUAGGCUUAACCUACAGACUGCGUUUGAAACUGUAUAUCUUGAGAGCAGCAGAGGAAGGCGGAAUUCCUGGUGUAGUGGUGAAAUACGUAGAUAUCAGGAAGAACACCAGUGGCGAAGGCGGUCUUCUGGGCUGCAUCUGACGCUCAUGUACGAAAGCUGGGGUAGCGAACGGGAUUAGAUACCCCGGUAGUCCCAGCUGUAAACGAUGGACACUAGGUGUUGGAGGUUCGAAUCCUUCAGUGCCGGAGUUAACGCAUUAAGUGUCCCGCCUGGGGAAUACGGUCGCAAGACUGAAACUCAAAGGAAUUGACGGGGGCCCGCACAAGCGGUGGAGCAUGUGGUUUAAUUCGAUGCAACGCGAAGAACCUUACCGAGAAUUGACAUCCCGUGACUACCUGUGAAAGCAGGGUUUAGUGUUUACACUACACGGAGACAGGUGGUGCAUGGCUGUCGUCAGCUCGUGUUGUGAAAUGUUGGGUUAAGUCCCGCAACGAGCGCAACCCUUGUCCUAGUUGCCAGCAAGUAAUGUUGGGGACUCUAAGGAGACUGCCGGUGAAAGUCGGAGGGAAGUGGGGAUGACUUCCAGUCCUCCUGCCCUUUAUA
rnacentral:rRNA from 1 species